rnacentral:rRNA from 1 species
GCGGCAAACGGGUGAGUAAUAUCUGGGAAUCUACCCAAAAGAGGGGGAUAACUACUAGAAAUGGUAGCUAAUACCGCAUAAAGUUGGAAAACCAAAGUGGGGGACCUUUUAGGCCUCACGCUUUUGGAUGAGCCCAGACGAGAUUAGCUUGUUGGUAAGGUAAAAGCUUACCAAGGCCACGAUCUCUAGCUGGUCUGAGAGGAUAACCAGCCACACUGGAACUGAGACACGGUCCAGACUCCUACGGGAGGCAGCAGUGGGGAAUAUUGCACAAUGGGCGAAAGCCUGAUGCAGCUAUGCCGCGUGUAUGAAGAAGGCCUUAGGGUUGUAAAGUACUUUCAGCGGGGAGGAAAAAAAUAAAACUAAUAAUUUUAU